GUUUUGUUUUGUUUUCAAAUUCAUUAAUUUCUGCUUUUUUCUUCAUCAUUCUCUUCAUUCUGUUUGAAAAUAUAUGAAGCAAAAAUGAACGGAAUUGAAAGAAACAGAUAAAUCCACAAUUACAGCUGGAGACUUCAACACACCUUUCUCAAAAACUGCCAGCAGAAGUAGAUAAAAAUCACAGUGAUACAGAAGAUCUCAGCAGCACCCUCCACCAACAGGACAUAGCUGACAUUCAGGGAAUGCCACCUAACAGCAGCAGGACACCGUGCCUUCAAGUGCCCACAGAGGUACCACAGGCUUAGACCCUGUCCUGGCCCAAGAUAGUGAACUUCAGAAAGCUUAAAAGAAUUGAAUUAUGUAUGUUCUGCAUUCUGACCACCACAGAACCAACUAGAAAUCAGUAACAGAAGGAUAGCAGGAAAACCUCCAAACACAGAAAUUAAAUCAUGUGAUCCUAAGUAACCCACAGGCCAAGGAGGAAGUCCCACGAGAGAAGAAUGCAUUGGACUGGAUCAAAAUGAAAAUACAACAUAUCAAAAUUUGUGAGACAGAAUUUCUCAGCUAAAGUAGUGUCAUGUGAGAACUGCGGAGCAAUAAAUUACCUAUUAAGAAAAAAAAACCCUCAAAUAAAUAAUCUAAGUGCCCACCUCCACAAAUUAAAAAGAAGAUUGCAAAAAAAACUCAAAGCAUGCAGAGAAAAGGAAAUGACACGGACAAGAGCAAACACCAUGGACCUGAGAACAGAAAAACAAGGAGCUGAUAUUUGAAGAGGUUAACUAAAUUGGUAAACUGUGAGGAAAACAGAAAAUGAGUUAGAAUACCAGAAAUGAAAUGAAAGAUACCACUACUGAGCCUGCAGACAUUGAAAGGGUAAUAUUAUCCACAACUCCACACAUAUAGAUUUGAGAACUUAACUGAAAUGGACCAAUUUCUCAAAAUCCCCAAAUACCAGAAUUCACCAUGAAGGAGAUAAUUGAAAAAAAAAAAGUUACAUUUGUAAUUUUACUCCCUGCCCCCAAAAAAACCAUUCUCGGUGUAUAUGACUUUGCUGGAAAAUUCUAUCAAAUAUUGAAAGACUAAUUAACAUAAAUUUAACUGUUUUUUCAAAAGGUAGAAAGGAACAAACAUCCCCCAACACAUUUCAUGAAUUUAGGAUUAGCCUGAUAUCAAAAUCAGAUGACACAGGAAAAGAAAACCACAUCUCCCAUGAAAAUACACAGAAACCCCUAAUAAAAUAUUAUCCAAUUAAAUUUAUUGUUACAUAAAAAGAAUGUUAUACCACAACCAAGCAAGAGUUAUUUCCAGGUAUACAAUCUUAGUUUGGUACUUAAAAAUUGAUCUAUUUAAUCCACCAGGUUAACAGGCUUAAAGGUCACAUGAUCAUAUAAAUCAAUGCAGAAAAUUGGACAAAAUUUAACACCUAUUCAAGAUAGAAAAACUUCCUGAAAAUUAAAGUACUGGGGAAUUUUCUUGAUAAUAAUCUCAGCAAAAACCACAUGCUAAUGUUAUGUUAUGGUGAAAGAUUGAAUGCCUCUAAGAUUGGGAACAAGACAGUAUGUCUACUUUCCCCACUCUUUUCAACAUGUAGCUAAUUCAAUAAAUCAAGAAAAUGAAGGUAAAAGUUACAUAAAGGAAUAAAUUAAAAUACCCAUGUAAAAAUUUGCAAGUGCUUCAAAAAAUGAAAUACGUAGUUAUAAAUCUACCCAAAUAUGUCCUCAAUCUGUACACUGAAAACUAUGUAGUAUUGAUGAAAGAAACCAAAAGGUGCCUAAGCUACUGUGGAGACAUACCAUGUUCAUGGAUGUAAUAAUGGCUGCCAUGCGUAAGCUACUGGGGAGAAAUACCAUGUUCAUGGAUGUAAUGGCUGCCAUGCUGAAGCUACUGGGGAGACAUACCAUGUUCAUGGAUGUAAUGGCUGCCAUGGUCGAAACAUUCCCCAAACUUCAUGUGUUGAAACUUAACCAAGAGUGAGAUUGUAUUAGGAGGUGGGAACUUCAUGGACCUUAGAGUCAUGAAAGUUCUGGCCUUAUGGAUGGAAUUAGCAAUCUUAUGAAAGGAUAUGAGGUGAAUUUGCAUUUCCAUCCCUUCUUCCAUGGAUGUAGCUUCUGUGCUCUCUAGAGGACACAGUACCCAGCACCAAGGAGCUUUCAGCAGACACUGAACCUGCCAACACCUUGAUCUAGGAUUUCCUAACAUCUGGAAGCAUGAAAAAUCAAUUUCUUUUUUCAUUUUCAUUUUAGUUUGUUAUAUAUGACAACAGAAUGCAUUACAAUUUGUAUUACACAUAUACCGCACAUAUCUCUUUUAUAUUUCUGGUUGUACACAAAGUAGAGUCCCAUCCUUUGUGUCUUCAUACAGGUACUUAGAGUAAUGAUGACAUUGAAUUCCACUGUCUUUCCUACCCCUAUACCCCUCUCCCCUUUUCCCUUUUGCCCUAUCUAGAGUUCAUUUAAUAUGAAAAAUGAAUUUAUAUUGUUUAAAAAUUUUACAGACUGUGGUGUUUUGUUAUAAUAGCACAAAUGGACAAAAACAAAGGCUUAACAUAUAAUGAUAUCAAUCUUUCCCAAAUGGGUGUGCAGGUGUAACCGUUUCUAAUAAAAUGAUAGUAGGACAGUUUUAUAGAUGGAAACAAGACUAAUCAAAAAUUUAUUUUGAAAGGCAAAGAAACUAAGGUAGCUAAAAUAAAUUUGAGAAAGAGUGAAGGGGGAGGAAAUGUGCUGCAGUCCGGCUGCAGCAAAAUAGCUGGGAGGUGAUGAUCAACUUGUGUAGAUUGAUACAGAGCAACUUGUGUACAUUGAUACAGCAGGAGUGGAAGCUGUUUAUUGUAGGACAGGAGGGGUAUUUAUACAUUCCACACAGCUUAUCUUAAUUAACAUAAACUAGAUACAGCAGUCAACCAAUAAGGAAUCUCCACACUUAAUGGCUCGCUGGAGUCACCUCACAAACCACUCCCUCUGGCAAAAUGCCAGGCGCCAUCCAGACUUGUUUACAGACUUUAACAGAAAUGUUAUCCCGAUUUUGAGGCAGGAGUUAUCAUAAAGCUGGAGACCAAGGCUGUGGAUGAUGGGAAGAUCCAGUCAAGAGAAGACCCACACCAUGUGUCCAGCUGACUUUACUCAAGGUGCAAGUGAUUCAAUGGGAAAGGCAGAAAUGUUGCAGAGCAAUGUGAUAUCCACAGGCAAAAAAUGAACCCCAAUCUGAAUCUCCACCUUGCACAGAAGCAAACUCAAAGAGAACACAGAUGAAAUGCACACGUGAAGCUGAAAGAUGUUUAUCAAAAGCUCAGAGGGAUGGCUUCAAAAUGAAGGCAAAGAUUUCUUGUACUUGGCCCCAAAAACACAAUCCAUGAAAAGAAAAAUGUAUAUCUGUUGUGAGGACCUGUACUCCAGGUGGAUUUUGUUUUGGAGCAGUGUCCCAGUAGAUUGGUGAUGUUUGUUGACUUGAGAUCAGAUUUUUAUUUUAUUUUGAAAAAGAUUUUUUCUUUCCCCUAAUAGUCUUAAGACUUCUAAUGUUGAAAACUUGCACAAAUUUGUGUGGAACAAAACCUAGAGAAAUGAAAACUUCAUAUUGCAUAGAAUGGAUCCUAGUGUGAUAGAAGAGAGAGAAUUUUGGUGCCAUUAUCUCUCUCUUCAUUGGUGGUUGGACAGUUUAAGCUUCAGUAAAAGUUUGCUUACUUUAAAAAAAAGGAUAAAAAUGAAUUGAAUCCAAAUGAAAACGCUUUGCUCUGUAAAAACCCUACCAAGAGGAUAACAAGACAAGUUACUGAGUGGGAGAAAAUAUUUGCAAGCCACGAUUUGGUAGAAGAUUCUUAUCUGGAAUCUGGAGAGGACCCGUAACACUGAGGUGUGUGGCUCAGGGGCAGAGCGGUGGCCCAGCAAGCACCAGCCCACGGUUUCAUCCCCAGCACCACAAAGCACUGCCAGCUCUCAAAGCCCCAUUUAUGAUGGCACUCAUCAGUUUACAAGGGCGGAUUCCUGGGCACCCAAACCCCUCCCGUAGGCCCACCUCCCAACUCUGGAGUUUUUGCUUCCAACACGAGUUUUGGGGAACCUCAGCAGUCUCUCAGUAAAAUCAGGUUGUAUAAGAGGAGGUUUCAUAAGGAAAAAAGAAGGGGGAGCCUCCGUUCAUUGAGCCCCUCCUCAGGGAGUCCUGAAGCCUGUGGAGCACCAUGCUGUUCUCGGAGGCGCCUCUAAACAGUUGCUCUGUGCAGUGUGGGUGAGACCUGUGGCAUGGCCCCGGCGCGUGAGGCAGGACCUGCGUGCUAAGAGAAAACGCAGCCAGUUCUCAUCCACAGGUCACGUUCUACAGCGAACACUCCUGGGGAGCCCGGCUUCGGUUCCUGCCAGCCUCCGGUCUCAGCCUCUUCACUUGCUGAUGGCCUUGUUUCACGUGUGCUUCCCAGCGAUGGCACUCAAGCUGGAGAGGACGGGACACACCACGGCCCUCUUGCCCGCACUUGAGCAGACUCCCGGCCGGUGUGAACAGUGAGGUCAUCGAUACAAGGCCCAAGAAUGUGAAACGUGGCAAUAAAUAGGUUGUACAGGAUGCUAUGGGAGCCAAGGGGAGUGUGUGGCCUUGUCCCCGCUCAGCCAGGAACCUGUGCUGGGUGACUCUGGCCGCUCUGCCUGCCUGUGAAUAAAGCAAGAAUACCCAAGUGUCGAUGCCUGGGUUACAAAUACCUUUUAGCAAGGAGGUGAUUGCAAAUGAGAAUUGACUGUGUGUAUCUUCCUGGGUCCAUUUGGCAGGUGAGGGCAAGCCCUUGGAUGCGUGUCAUUAUUUAGGAUCUCAGAGGAGGGGGUGAAGCUGUCUUCCCAGAUGUGCCUGUCCCCUGGGCCACCCAGGGUCUCUGCUAGUCCAGCCCACUCCUCCCGGCUGGGUGUGGGCUGUGCUCUGUGGUUUGCUUUAAGGAGCUUGAGCACACCCAGGCUAAGAUGCUCCUUGAACGGAACCUCCUGUGGAGAACAGAAAUGAACAACUAGCUCGUGACAGUUAGUGGGUGCCUGUGCCCUGGGCCCUCACACUGCAGGUAUCUUCAUCUCAUUCACUCAGCACAUACUGACGGAACACCCCCUGUCCUCCACUGUCUCCCCAGAGAAAGAGAAGACUCCCUGCCUUCCUGCAGCUUAGUGUGUAUAAAGGAGAGAUGGAUACUCAAAAUAGUAGAUCAGAUUGGCGCAUUGGAAGGGGUGUGUGUUGUGGGAAAAUAUAGGGCAGGUUAAGAGGGACUUAGGAUUUAAGUGGGAAGAUGAGGGUGGGCUGCCCUGAGGGCAACUCUGAGAAUGGGUUGACAGGAGGGAGGAGCAGGUGCCAGGACCCAGGGCACAGGGUGUACAAGGAACAGUCAGCAGGCAGCACAGGGAAGAGCGAGGGGCAGGGUAAGCACUAGAGAUGCCCGGUCAGGGGACAGGUGGGACAGUGUAUCUGCAGGUGCUGGGAAGGGCCAUGUCCUGCUCUGAGCAGGUGAAGAGCUGGUGCAGGGCUCCAGGCCGGUCAUAACUGCACCUGCCUCUCUCCCGCCUGAUGCUCCCGCGGGUCUGAGCCCACUGCUCCCAGGAAGCCUACCCCGUCUAGAGCUUGCCUGAGAAGCUCCACCUCAACACCCCCAGGACUUCAGGAAGCUACGGGUCAGCCUGGUGGUAAAGAGAAUCCCACUCAUCACAGCCACNUCUACCCAAAUAUGUCCUCAAUCUGUACACUGAAAACUAUGUAGUAUUGAUGAAAGAAACCAAAAGGUGCCUAAGCUACUGUGGAGACAUACCAUGUUCAUGGAUGUAAUAAUGGCUGCCAUGCGUAAGCUACUGGGGAGAAAUACCAUGUUCAUGGAUGUAAUGGCUGCCAUGCUGAAGCUACUGGGGAGACAUACCAUGUUCAUGGAUGUAAUGGCUGCCAUGGUCGAAACAUUCCCCAAACUUCAUGUGUUGAAACUUAACCAAGAGUGAGAUUGUAUUAGGAGGUGGGAACUUCAUGGACCUUAGAGUCAUGAAAGUUCUGGCCUUAUGGAUGGAAUUAGCAAUCUUAUGAAAGGAUAUGAGGUGAAUUUGCAUUUCCAUCCCUUCUUCCAUGGAUGUAGCUUCUGUGCUCUCUAGAGGACACAGUACCCAGCACCAAGGAGCUUUCAGCAGACACUGAACCUGCCAACACCUUGAUCUAGGAUUUCCUAACAUCUGGAAGCAUGAAAAAUCAAUUUCUUUUUUCAUUUUCAUUUUAGUUUGUUAUAUAUGACAACAGAAUGCAUUACAAUUUGUAUUACACAUAUACCGCACAUAUCUCUUUUAUAUUUCUGGUUGUACACAAAGUAGAGUCCCAUCCUUUGUGUCUUCAUACAGGUACUUAGAGUAAUGAUGACAUUGAAUUCCACUGUCUUUCCUACCCCUAUACCCCUCUCCCCUUUUCCCUUUUGCCCUAUCUAG
rnacentral:lncRNA from 1 species